rnacentral:rRNA from 1 species
AACAGGAUUAGAUACCCUGGUAGUCCACGCCGUAAACGAUGUCGACUUGGAGGUUGUUCCCUUGAGGAGUGGCUUCCGGAGCUAACGCGUUAAGUCGACCGCCUGGGGAGUACGGCCGCAAGGUUAAAACUCAAAUGAAUUGACGGGGGCCCGCACAAGCGGUGGAGCAUGUGGUUUAAUUCGAUGCAACGCGAAGAACCUUACCUACUCUUGACAUCCACGGAAUUCGGCAGAGAUGCCUUAGUGCCUUCGGGAACCGUGAGACAGGUGCUGCAUGGCUGUCGUCAGCUCGUGUUGUGAAAUGUUGGGUUAAGUCCCGCAACGAGCGCAACCCUUAUCCUUUGUUGCCAGCGAUUCGGUCGGGAACUCAAAGGAGACUGCCGGUGAUAAACCGGAGGAAGGUGGGGAUGACGUCAAGUCAUCAUGGCCCUUACGAGUAGGGCUACACACGUGCUACAAUGGCGCAUACAAAGAGAAGCGACCUCGCGAGAGCAAGCGGACCUCACAAAGUGCGUCGUAGUCCGGAUCGGAGUCUGCAACUCGACUCCGUGAAGUCGGAAUCGCUAGUAAUCGUGGAUCAGAAUGCCACGGUGAAUACGUUCCCGGGCCUUGUACACACCGCCCGUCACACCAUGGGAGUGGGUUGCAAAAGAAGUAGGUAGCUAA